AGGCAAGGUUUAGCAUUCAUUCCUCCUCCCAUAGGCCUUGGUCUUGUGUUUUUCUGACUUUUUUCAUGCUUGGACUUCCCAGUGAAGUUCCCUAGACACGACAGUGCGCUGUUCUUUGGCUCUUUACUUUCUCAUUCCUCAGCCUGGAGGCCUUUCUUUAACUUCUCAUUGCUAAGGAUUCUUUGGGGGAUAGAGAUCAGACUCCCAUGCCUGCCAAAUGCAGGGGACAAAUAUCCUGUUCUUCAGGUGGCACUGCCGGAACCCUUCUGCCUUGAGUAACAUAAAGAAGAGGAAAGAAGAUCAAAGAAUUAUGAAACAAAUGAGAUGCUUGUAAACUUCAUUAGUUAUAUGAAACCACAAAGGGGCAUUUAAUAAACUAUUCCUCUCAAAAAUGGUAUUUUGGUGCUUUGUGGACACUAGCAAACCUCCUGAUGCCUUCAAUUCAGAAAGGAAUUUCCUUACUGGAAGACGUGAUGAGCUGUCAGGGCCUCUGGCUUUCUCCAGAAGCUGGCCGAGCAACUGAGGAAUCUUGCUACUUACCUACACUCACUAUACUGCAGCGGGAAUGGCCCUGUGGGCACUGGGC
rnacentral:lncRNA from 1 species